AUUGAACGCUGGCGGCAGGCCUAACACAUGCAAGUCGAACGGUAACAGGGAUCAGCUUGCUGAUUCGCUGACGAGUGGCGGACGGGUGAGUAAUGUCUGGGAAACUGCCUGAUGGAGGGGGAUAACUACUGGAAACGGUAGCUAAUACCGCAUAACGUCGCAAGACCAAAGAGGGGGACCUUCAGGCCUCUUGCCAUCGGAUGUGCCCAGAUGGGAUUAGCUAGUAGGUGGGGUAACGGCUCACCUAGGCGACGAUCCCUAGCUGGUCUGAGAGGAUGACCAGCCACACUGGAACUGAGACACGGUCCAGACUCCUACGGGAGGCAGCAGUGGGGAAUAUUGCACAAUGGGCGCAAGCCUGAUGCAGCCAUGCCGCGUGUAUGAAGAAGGCCUUCGGGUUGUAAAGUACUUUCAGCGGGGAGGAAGGGAGUAAAGUUAAUACCUUUGCUCAUUGACGUUACCCGCAGAAGAAGCACCGGCUAACUCCGUG
rnacentral:rRNA from 1 species